CCCCAGGCUUUCUUUUCAGGAUGGAGGAAAGAUGAAUAUUUUGCCUUCAUUGACAGCCCCCAUUACUUAUCUGUUUCAGACUCAAAACACCCAGAUAGUGAAACAAGCCAUAGUAGACCACCUCCUGAUCUGGGUAUUGGAAUGGCUUCUCAAGCCCUGGCUAGGGCUCCACCUGUGUUUGUGGUUUAUUACAUGCAAUGAGUGAACUGAGAAUUUGUCUUGGACAUCACCAUUCUGGGUUGGAGGCAGCGGGGUGGAACAUAAUGGAAUUCUAUUGUCUGGAAUAAUGGAAUAAUGAUUCAAGGUGACUGUACGUUUAGGACAGACGGGAAGAGCAGAGGAGAAUGCAAGCUCCUUGAAAGCAGACACCAUGAUUUUUACUUUCUUGGUAUUCCCAUUACUUACCACAAUGCCUGGAACACAGCAUUACUGGCCAGUCAGUGAAAGUCUCCUAAAUCUUCAAAGCAACCACAACAAACCAGACAGUGACCCAACAAUGAUCCUGAGAUGGCUAUUCCUAGGUUUGGCAACUUUGAUAUGAGCUCAAGAGAUUUGGAGUGAUCACAAAGUCUCCCUUUAGGAGAUGUUUGCUGCAGGUACACAUUUUUUGGAGAAGAUGACCACCUUGAGGAAGAUGAGCCAUGAAUACCAUAUGGAAUUGCUGCUUGGACAGUGUGGGUUGAGGUGAAAAUGAAAUUUGUUUAGCAAUCUCCUAAGUUUUCUUUGAGCCUUUCCCUGGGAGAGUAUAGUAGAGGAAAUGGGCUUCUAUAAGUCCUUUGAGUACAUAAUGUAUUUUCUGUAUCUGUUUAUAGUUUCCUGUGAGUCUUUUGUUAUGGGUUACUGUUUCAUGUUUUAUGUAUUUGUCAAUGCAGGCUUAUGUGUCUUUCGGUUUUAAGCCUUUCUUUUGUAU